UUAUGGGUAAAGGGCAAAAGAGAGACGCCGUAGCUCUUCCACGGGCCCUCAUCGUGGGCCCGCACGAAUCUUGAUGAAGCUUAUAUCGAUGCUGCACCCGUCUUCAAGACGGGACACGAGUCGACGACAGCGCGAGUGUGCAUCGAGGGCCUGCGCGAAUCUCGGUGAGAUCCAUCAUGAUUCUACGCGAAACUCAAAGCGUCGUCUCAUGGAGACUUGUUUCUUCUACUUGCGUGCUCGAGUCCUGGUUUCGUUUGGUGGCCGAGCGACAUGGCGGAGGAACAACUUGGAGGACAUUUGAAUUCCACGCUGUGAGCCAAGAUGGGAGGACUGGUGUGUGGGUAUCACAUGGGUAUUGGUAACCACUCUUUGCAUCAUUCCCCUGGUGACUCCCAGUGAAAGGCUGCUGACUGCCUCUAUCUUUGAGACUAAGUUUUGACUGUUGGAGAAAAGGAAAGCAAAUCUAUCAACUGUGGAACCAAACCUGAUCAUACCGGCAUCUUCUUUUUAUCAUGCAUUUGCAGCUCUGGACUUUCUUUAUCCGUCCAUCGAGGACUGUGGCACUGAACAAUGCCGGUUCACGAGUGGUCCGCUGCUCAUGGCAUUUACCUUCCUUCUUUGUUGAAUUCGUACGGUGCUUAACAGGACGAUCACAAAUGCCUUAUAAUGGAUGAAUAACUACACUAUUUCCCUGAGGAGACAAUUCUUGGCAAUGUUCUUUCAUGUGUCGAUGAGCGGAUGACGAAUCACACACCGUGUCGAAGCAAAGAAAUAAUCUUCCAUCUUGUGAAUGCAGCCAGCAUGGAAACAUCCUCCGUUGCAAAUUUAGAUGCCGUGCCGCCAUCUUACUCGAACAACCAGUAUGCUCCGCAGUUCCUUAUCUCUGUUCUCACGAUACAAAUCUGAGGAAGUGUGAUAUGCUAAUGCAUCGGCGGUGUAUUCAAGUGCCACCAAAAAUCCCAGAGACGUCGACCAAAUAUGUCCGACAGCCGAUCUAUUGGAAGAUUUCUUUGGUGCAGAACCUGAUGAGAUAUGAGAUGACACCCCAAGUUAGCGGACGCAUGUGGAACUCGGAACGCACUCGAAUUCUGCUUGCUAUCGAACCUUUGCUUCCGCUUACGGUGUCGUGAGAUGGAGAUCGAAAGCAGUUUCCCAAUGGCGUGGAUCUCCAUUUCCAUCAUAUCGUGAGAGAUUUCAUCCUUGAGGUCUAAGAAAGAUGGGAAUCGGGUCAAAAGCAGUUGAUGACGCUGAUGGAAUCAUGUGUUGGGCAACUUAAUUCAUAUUGCGGUCAAUUCCUUGGGAAGCUAAGUUGACAAUCUUGACAUGAUGGGUUGGGUGUGGAUCUAAAUCUCGACUCCGUCGUUCUCCCACCGGCACAUGCUGACCCACACCCAGUUGAAGGAGCUCAUCGAGUGGUCCGGGUAGGUGAACUACCAGUGAUUCAUUUUUCUCUUCCACCUAAUCCCUCUGAAACCGAAGACCACUGAUUCGCAACCAUCAUUCCAAGGCUUUCUCUCUCUCUCUCUCUCUCUCUCUUUCUCUCUCUUCUGUGCAAGCCAAGCCUAUGGCCGCUUCUUUCUCCUACUUGGGUGCGUGUGUGAGAUGCAUCGACUGCUGCUGGUUUUGUUUCUCGACUCGCCUGACAACUUCAAUCCGCUGUCUCCUCCUUCGAGCCAUCAAAGCCUGCAGUUCUGUUGACUCGCUUGUCAUACGCAAGCUAAGUAUUUCUCUAGAUGCUGCUAACGUGAUCAUGGUCCCUUAAGAUUGUCAUUUUGUGGACACCCAACACCUCUCUUCUUCUUCUUCUGCUUAGGACAAGACGAGCUUGGGAUUGCCACGUGAAACCCGCCAAACUAGCCAUCAAGAAUGCAUGUACAACUAGGAUUUAACGUGUGUUUGUGGAAGGCAAUAAGUGCCUUGGGAUCUUUCCUUGUCACGCAAGACCAUGACUACUUCAACAGUGCCACUCUGACAUGUGUUCACCGACAGGUCAUCUGAGAGGAGGCGGGUUGUUUAGCUACCGGCCGUCACCUAGAAGAAGACGACGACGACGACGACGACGACGGCAUGGGCCAUGGCCAUUACUUUGCGGUGCAGAGAUGUAGCUGCUACGAGUCAACCGGGUAGGGGAUUCGAUACGGAGACAACGGUUGUGUCCGAAGCACGGCGAGCUCGGUGGAGGUGUGUUUCGGAUUGAUUACGACCCAAAGCUUCACAUCGCAGCACAGGAGGUGAAAGAUGCUGCGAGGGGGCGGUGGUGCGAAGGGAGGAAGUGCCCCCUCAUAAUAGUGAUAGGAAUUUUGCUCUUCAUGUGUGUUUUAGGAAGCCAUCUCGUGCAUUCGCUUUAACAAAAUGAGUGAGAUUGUAUGUCAAGUUCUUCUUAAAGGAGCGAGAAGCGUCGUCAUGAACGGUACAAGUUUUGAUGGAUGUCUGACUUCAUAUUGGAUUCAUGUCUAGUUAUAAAAAUUAGAAGACGACGUGACUAUCUAUCUCGGGAGGCUCACGUCGAGAA